UGGCCCCGUGCCCAUCCCUAAAUUUCCCACAAUACUUUGGUUGAAAAUCCAAAUUUUUACCUCACCCCUCCGCCGACCUCGUCCCAUUUUCCGACGACUCCCUUCUGUAAUUUUUGAACUGGGUAUUCAAGAAAAUCUCAAUAGGAAUUUUUAUUAUUCGUUUAAAUAGAAUUGAUGGUGUACAAAGAUAUGAAUGAUGCUUCAUCUGAUUAUCAUGGUACUCUAAGAACUGAAACCCUUGUCACUGGAUCAGUCCCUGACGUGGGUUUUUCUCCGGCGCCGGUGGUUUCUCCGGCAGGUGGGGAUUCAACAGCUGCCACAGAGGAUAGAGUUAAGGAGAGGUAUUGUGAACAAAGAGAAGCUCUGCCAGGAGAGCCUCGAUGUGUUAUAUGCGGGCGCUAUGGUGAAUAUAUAUGUGAUGAAACUGAUGAUGAUGUUUGUAGUCUGGAAUGUAAACAGUUACUUCUUUCUAAGAUUAAUAAAUCAGAACAGUCAGACACUGUUCCACCUCCCGCUAGACUACCCACAUCUGAUGAAUGUUAUUAUGUAAGAGAUACUGGCACCAAAGCGGACUGCCAGUCUUUGGAAGAGAACCAGACUGAAUUGCUUAGACUAAAGCUUGAUAUUUCUGUGAAAGGGAACUGCGUACCUGCUCCUAUAUUGUCCUUUGCUUCUUGCAACAUUCCUCGUAAACUUCUGGAAAAUAUAGAAGUUGCGGGAUAUGAAAUGCCAACCCCUGUCCAAAUGCAAGCAAUCCCGAUUGCUUUAAAGGGUCAAAGCCUUCUUGUCUCAGCUGAGACAGGUUCGGGGAAAACUGCAUCCUAUAUGAUUCCUGUUGUGUCUUAUUGUGCUCAGUUUAAACAUGAGCAGUCUUCAAAGAUGAAAAAACCAUCAGCAAUGGUUCUUGCCCCAACCAGGGAACUCUGCAUACAGGUGGAGGAACAAGCCAAGUUGCUUGGAAAGGGACUGCCUUUUAAGACGGCUCUUGUUGUUGGUGGUGAUCCCAUGGCGAGACAACUUUAUCGCAUCCAGGAGGGUGUGUCUCUGAUUGUAGGAACCCCCGGUAGGCUAAUAGAUCUUUUAACUAAGCAUGAUAUGGAAUUGGAUAGUGUUUCUAUGUUGGUCCUUGAUGAAGUGGAUUGCAUGCUUCAGAAGGGCUUCCAUGAGCAGGUGAUGCAAAUAUAUAGAGCUCUAUCACAACCCCAAGUUUUAAUGUAUUCAGCAACAAUCUCGAGGGAAGUUGAGAAAUUGGCAAGGUUAAUGACAAAUGAUUUGGUUAUAGCCACUGUCGGAAAACCUGGCAAUCAAAAUUCUUCUGUAAAACAGGUAACAAUCUGGGUGGAAUCAAAGCAAAAGAAGAAAAAACUUUUUGACAUAUUGACAAGCCAGCAGCACUUCUUGCCGCCCGCAGUAGUUUUUGUUGGUUCAAGACUUGGUGCGGAUCUCCUUUCUGAAGCAAUAACAGCCACUACUGGAGUGAAAGCUCUAUCAAUACAUGGAGAGAAGCCGAUGAAGGAUAGAAGACAAAUUUUAAAGUCAUUUCUGAUGGGUGAGGUACCUGUGCUUGUGGCCACCAGCAUUUUGGGUCGAGGAGUAAAUCUCUUCGGUGUAAGACAGGUUAUUAUGUUUGAUAUGCCAAAUUCCAUUAAGGAGUAUAUUCACCAGAUUGGAAGGACAUCGCGGAUGGGAGAGGAGGGUACAUCAAUAGUUUUCAUAAACGAGGAAGACAAAAAGAUAUUUCCUGAGUUGGUUGAAUUCUUAAAAUCUUCUGGGGCUCCUAUCCCAAGAGAGCUGGCUAAUUCGCGGUACAUGAUGAGAUCUUUCUCAUCUAGUUCGGGAAACAAGAAGAGGAAGCAUGGUCUCUGAGGUUUACAACUUCUGAUUGUUGUUUACAUUAAAGACGUCAUAGAAAGGAAUAUAUAGUAUCUGAUGCAAGUUUUAGCAUGGUCUUCAGGAAUGCAAAUAUUUGUCCGUCCUGAGUCAUGGAGGCUGUCAGCCAUUUACUUUCCAGGAUAUGCCUCUAUCAGAGCUAAAACGCAAUAGCAGGAUAUUAUCAUUUUUAGUUAGGCUCAUCACUGCCAGAUGCUAGAGUAUCAUGUGUUAGAGAGACGCCUGUGUCAGAGGUAGAAAACAAGCACAGGGUAACUGUAGCUUUGGAUAAGGCUUGUACUUGCUGGAAGAAUGAGUAUCAUGUAUAUAUAUUCUAAACAGGUCAGAAAUACAUCCCAACAUACUUUGUGUCGAUAGGUUGGAAUAGAACGGAGUAGUUGAGAAUGGAACAAAUAGAAACAUUAAUCUCGUCUUUAUCUAUAUGUGUGCCCUUGUUACAAUUCAGCAGAUUAUGCUAUUUUGUCCCCUAUCAGUUGUGCGAUGCCAAUAUAUUUUCAGUUGAUAAUUUUGGUUUUGAGCUG